UUCACUGCUGCGCUUGGGGCACCUCCAUGGGAGAAACAUGAAGGAGUUUGCUGCAUGUGCCCCUCAGACAGGUUCCUGUGGGAGAAAUACCUGGUCAUGUCACCAGACAGCUCCUGGUGGGGAUGAGCUGGGGGUCAGGAUGACAGAAGAAACAGAAGUACUGAUAUCCUCUGCUGAAAUUUCCUGUCGAAGUUGCCACCCACCUGUGGUUCAAUAAACACCAGCCACCUCUCAAGCAAA